rnacentral:rRNA from 1 species
UACGGGGGGAGCAAGCGUUGUUCGGAAUUACUGGGCGUAAAGGGCUUGUAGGCGGCCUUGUAAGUCGGGGGUGAAAUCCACUGGCUCAACCAGUGACGUGCCUUCGAAACUGCUUGGCUUGAGUAUGGCAGAGGAGAGCGGAAUUCCAGGUGUAGCGGUGAAAUGCGUAGAUAUCUGGAAGAACACCGGUGGCGUAGGCGGCCCACUGGAUCGGUACUGACGCUGAGGUGCGAAAGCGUGGGGAGCAAACAGG